UACCAGCACCCCGAGUGGUCGGGACGAUUAUUGGGCCUAAAGCAUCCGUAGCCGGUUCUGCAAGUCCCCCGUUAAAUCCAGCUGCUCAACAGAUGGGCCGCGGAGGAUACUACAGAGCUAGGAGGCAAGGAGAGGCAAGCGGUACUCAGUGGGUGAGGGGUAAAAUCCGUUGAUCCAUUGAAGACCACCAGUGGCGAAGGCGGCUUGCCAGAAUGCGCUCGACGGUGAGGGAUGAAAGCUGGGGAGCAAACCGG
rnacentral:rRNA from 1 species